CAUGCAAGUCGAGCGAGAACCUGGGCUUCGGCCCUGGGGACAGCGGCGAACGGGUGAGUAACACGUGGAUAACCUGCCCUCGGCACCGGAAUAGCCCGGGGAAACCCGGAUUAAUGCCGGAUAGCCCCACAUCCCUGCGGGGAACGUGGGAAAAGGUAGCUUCGGCCUCUGGCCGAGGAUGGGUCCGCGGUGGAUUAGCUUGUUGGCGGGGUAACGGCCCACCAAGGCGACGAUCCAUAGCUGGUCUGAGAGGACGAUCAGCCACACUGGGACUGAGACACGGCCCAGACUCCUACGGGAGGCAGCAGUGGGGAAUCUUGCGCAAUGGGCGAAAGCCUGACGCAGCGACGCCGCGUGCGGGAAGAAGGCCUUCGGGUUGUAAACCGCUUUCAGGAGGGACGAAGCCACUCGGGUUAAUAGCCCAGAGGGUGACGGUACCUCCAGAAGAAGCCCCGGCUAACUACGUGCCAGCAGCCGCGGUAAUACGUAGGGGGCAAGCGUUGUCCGGAUUCAUUGGGCGUAAAGAGCGUGUAGGCGGCCAGGUAGGUCGGUUGUGAAAACUGGAGGCUCAACCUUCAGAGGUCGACCGAAACCAUCUGGCUAGAGUCCGGGAGAGGAGA
rnacentral:rRNA from 1 species